rnacentral:lncRNA from 1 species
GAAAGAACUUGUUGUAAACUUCACCAAUCGUGACAUAUAGGGUGUGAUUUUGCCUAAAAUCAUACUGGAGAAGCCAUAAGUAACAGAAACAGAAACCCUAGGUCUAACUCAACAUGUCCCAGGAUCCUUGAAGGCCUUAGAGGUGAUGACCAAUGUUAUGGAAGACCUAUUAAAGGCUUGGGGUUUGAAAGGUAGUCAUCGGAGAUGACUAGAAAGUGAGGCGAUUGAAGGAAUCUCGGGUUAGGUUGAGAGAUAGGAGAGGAGGUGACAGAGUUUGAG